rnacentral:rRNA from 1 species
UUUCCAGCAGUCCCAAAAUAUUAGUCAAUGCUCGAAAGAGUGAACUAGCUAACUGAAAUCAAUAAUAAUAAUUGAUAACAUAAGGGAAAAUAAUGAUAUUACCUUAUUAUUAGUGUCGUCCAAAUCUGGUGCCAGAAGACUCGGUAAGGCCAGAGACACAAACGUUAAUCGUCUUAAUCAGGCGUAAAGGGUUUGUAGGCGGCUUUAAAAUUUACUUAUAAAAUAAAACACAUAUUGUUUUUGUUUUUGUUUUUGAUUUAAUAAGUAAAAAAUCAAAGCUAGAAUCAAAUAGAGGAUAUAUGAAAGAAUGCUUAGAGUAGGUCUGAUAUCCUUAGAUACUAAGUAGAAUAUUAAAGGCGAAAGCUUUUUUCCAUUAAUGAUUGACGCUCAGAAACGAAGGUGAGGAUAGGAAAUAGGAUUAGAUACCCAAAAUACCCCUCUCUGUCAACGAUGAAUGGUAGUUAUUAGUAAAAAUUUAUUAAUGGCAAUGUUAACACGAUAACCAUUCCGCCUUGUGAGUACAACUGCAAAGUUGAAAACAAAAAAAUUAGUCGGUUUCGGAGCAAACGAAGUGAAGCAUGUUAUUUAAUUCGAAUAAUCCGCAAA